UGGGGAAUAUUGCACAAUGGGCGCAAGCCUGAUGCAGCCAUGCCGCGUGUGUGAAGAAGGCCUUCGGGUUGUAAAGCACUUUCAGCGAGGAGGAAGGUGGUGAGCUUAAUACGCUCAUCAAUUGACGUUACUCGCAGAAGAAGCACCGGCUAACUCCGUGCCAGCAGCCGCGGUAAUACGGAGGGUGCAAGCGUUAAUCGGAAUUACUGGGCGUAAAGCGCACGCAGGCGGUUUGUUAAGUCAGAUGUGAAAUCCCCGGGCUCAACCUGGGAACUGCAUUUGAAACUGGCAAGCUAGAGUCUCGUAGAGGGGGGUAGAAUUCCAGGUGUAGCGGUGAAAUGCGUAGAGAUCUGGAGGAAUACCGGUGGCGAAGGCGGCCCCCCUGGACGAAGACUGACGCUCAGGUGCGAAAGCGUGGGGCAGCAAACAGGAUUAGAUACCCUGGUAGUCCACGCUGUAAACGAUGUCGAUUUUGGAGGUUGUGCCCUUGAGGCGUGGNUUCCGGAGCUAACGCGUUAAAUCGACCGCCUGGGGAGUACGGCCGCAAGGUUAAAACUUAAAUGAAUUGCGGGGUCUAGCUG
rnacentral:rRNA from 1 species